AGCGAACGUUAGCGGCGCGCCUAACACAUGCAAGUCGCACGAGAAAGGGAGCAAUCCCCGGUACAGUGGCGCACGGGUGAGUAACACGUAGAUGACCUUCCCUGGAGUGGUGGAUAACCUGCCGAAAGGCGGGCUAAUACAGCAUGGGACCACAUGGUUUUGACCGAGUGGUGAAAGCGGGCCUCUGUUCACAAGCUCGCGCUCUGGGAUGGGUCUGCGUCCCAUCAGCUAGUUGGUGAGGUAAUGGCUCACCAAGGCAUCGACGGGUAGCUGGUCUGAGAGGAUGACCAGCCACACUGGAACUGAGACACGGUCCAGACUCCUACGGGAGGCAGCAGUGGGGAAUCUUGCGCAAUGGGCGAAAGCCUGACGCAGCGACGCCGCGUGGGUGAUGGAGGCC
rnacentral:rRNA from 1 species